AGACACUUUUUCUAUAUAGCAAGGAACAUAUGUGUACGAAAAGAAGAGGACCAACUAUUAAGAAUCAAACUUUAUCAAAGUGUUUUUUUUUACUUUUUUUAAAUUGUUAGAUUUUUCUUCAAAUAGGUUAUAAUUGGUAUUAGUAAGUGUCAUGAAAAGUUAGAAGUAAGGAGAAAUAAAAACAAAAGGAUAUUCUGAAAAUAUCUUUAUAUAAAAU
rnacentral:lncRNA from 1 species